UGGGGAAUAUUGGGCAAUGGGCGAAAGCCUGACCCAGCAACGCCGCGUGAGGGAAGAAGGUCUUCGGAUUGUAAACCUCUGUCUUUGGGGACGAAAAAAAUGACGGUACCCAAGGAGGAAGCCCCGGCUAACUACGUGCCAGCAGCCGCGGUAAUACGUAGGGGGCGAGCGUGGUCCGGAAUUACUGGGCGUAAAGGGUGCGUAGGCGGUUUUUUAAGUCAGAUGUGAAAUCCCCGGGCUUAACUCGGGUGGUGCAUUUGAAACUGGAAGGCUAGAGUGCAGGAGAGGGAAGCGGAAUUCCUAGUGUAGCGGUGAAAUGCGUAGAUAUUAGGAGGAACACCAGUGGCGAAGGCGGCUUUCUGGACUGUAACUGACGCUGAGGCACGAAAGCGUGGGGAGCAAACA
rnacentral:rRNA from 1 species